AUUGAACGCUGGCGGCGUGCUUAACACAUGCAAGUCGAGCGGCAGCGCGGGGGCAACCCUGGCGGCGAGCGGCGGACGGGUGAGCAAUACAUAGGAAUCUGCCUCAGAGCGGGGGAUAGCCAGGGGAAACCCUGAUUAAUACCGCAUGACGUCGAGAGACCAAAGUGGGGGAUCGUAAGACCUCACACUCUGAGAUGAGCCUAUGUCGGAUUAGCUAGUUGGCGGGGUAACGGCCCACCAAGGCGACGAUCCGUAGCUGGUCUGAGAGGACGAUCAGCCACACCGGAACUGAGACACGGUCCGGACUACUACGGGAGGCAGCAAUAGGGAAUAUUGGACAAUGGGCGAAAGCCUGAUCCAGCGACGCCGCGUGGGUGAAGAAGGCCUUCGGGUUGUAAAGCCCUUUAAGCCGGGACGAAAAAGCUACACCUAACACGUGUGGCCUUGACGGUACCGGAAGAAUAAGCACCGGCUAACUCUGUGCCAGCAGCCGCCGUAA
rnacentral:rRNA from 1 species